UACGGAGGAUGCGAGCGUUAUCCGGAUUUAUUGGGUUUAAAGGGUGCGCAGGCGGCGUGUCAAGCAAGCGGUAAAAUAGCGGGGCUCAACCCCGUCGAGCCGUUGAAACUGGCGGGCUGGAGUUGGAGAGAAGUACGCGGAAUGCGCGGUGUAGCGGUGAAAUGCUUAGAUAUCGCGCAGAACCCCGAUUGCGAAGGCAGCGUACCGGCUCCACACUGACGCUGAGGCACGAAAGCGUGGGUAUCGAACAGG
rnacentral:rRNA from 1 species